rnacentral:lncRNA from 1 species
GCGGAGGCUCCUCCAGGGACUGGGGCACAGAUCUGCGUAGAAACGGGUGGCGGGGAAGAGAGGGGAGGAGAGCUCUGAGUGGGAAGCGGAGCCGGGGGCCUGGGACCCGUCGCGUCAGAGCCAGGCAAGUGAACCGGAGCAAACGACUUCCGAUCCAGUCUGCGCUGUUGCAGCUCCCGUUUGGGAUUUGAUUUGCAGCAUCUUUGAGCCUCUACGACAAAAAAACCGCGAAGCACGCCCAGCCCUCCCCCGGCACCCCGAAAAGCACCCACUCCCUCCCGGGGACACAGCUG